GUGAGGAAUCUUGCGCAAUGGGCGAAAGCCUGACGCAGCGACGCCGCGUGGAGGAAGACGGCCUUCGGGUUGUAAACUCCUGUCAGAGGUGAAGAAUCCCCGCAAGGGGUUGACGGUAACCUCAAAGGAAGCCCCGGCUAACUACGUGCCAGCAGCCGCGGUAAUACGUAGGGGGCAAACGUUACUCGGAAUUACUGGGCGUAAAGGGUGUGUAGGUGGUUGAGUAAGUCAGGGAUGAAAUUCCGGAGCUCAACUUCGGAAUUGUCUUUGAGACUGCUCGGCUUGAGGAUAGUGGAGGAGAAUGGAAUUCCCGGUGGAGCGGUGAAAUGCGUAGAUAUCGGGAGGAACACCCGAGGCGUAAGCGAUUCUCUAAGCUAUUCCUGACGCUGAAACACGAAAGCUAGGGGAGCGAACGGGAUUAGAAACCCCAGUAGUCC
rnacentral:rRNA from 1 species